GAUGAACGCUGGCGGCGUGCCUAAUACAUGCAAGUCGAGCGAAUGGAUUAAGAGCUUGCUCUUAUGAAGUUAGCGGCGGACGGGUGAGUAACACGUGGGUAACCUGCCCAUAAGACUGGGAUAACUCCGGGAAACCGGGGAUAAUACCGGAUAACAUUUUGAACCGCAUGGUUCGAAAUUGAAAGGAGGCUUCGGCUGUCACUUAUGGAUGGACCCGCGUCGCAUUAGCUAGUUGGUGAGGUAACGGCUCGCCAAGGCAACGAUGCUUCGCCGACCUGAGAGGGUGAUCGGCCACACUGGGACUGAGACACGGCCCAGACUCCUACGGGAGGCAGCAGUAGGGAAUCUUCCGCAAUGGACGAAAGUCUGACGGAGCAACGCCGCGUGAGUGAUGAAGGCUUUCGGGUCGUAAAACUCUGUUGUUAGGGAAGAACAAGUGCUAGUUGAAUAAGCUGGCACCUUGACGGUACCUAACCAGAAAGCCACGGCUAACUACGUGCCAGCCGCCGCCGUAA
rnacentral:rRNA from 1 species